ACUCAUUAGAUGGGUAGCUCAGCUGGUAGAGCAUGAGACUCUUAAUUUUAAGGUCAUGGGUUCAAGUCCUACGUUGGGUA